rnacentral:rRNA from 1 species
CACCGCGGUUAGACGUGAGACCCAAAUUGAUAGACACGGCGUAAAGGGUGGUUAAAAUCAUCAUGUGCUAGGGCCGAACUUACCCCAUACUGUUAUACGUUACGGACUAAUGAAGCUCGCAAACGAAAGUAGCCCUAAACAAUUGAAACCACGAAAGCUAGGGGA